rnacentral:lncRNA from 1 species
UUCAUUCCUUUUUUUUUUUUUUUUUUUGUCUUUUUAGGGACGCGCCCGCAGCAUAUGGAGGUUCCCUGGCUAGGGGUCCAGUCGGAGCUACUGCUGCCGGGCUACACCAGAGCCACAGCAAUGUGGGAUCUGAGCCUCAUCUACGACCUGCACCACAGCUCAUGGCAACACUGGAUCCUUAACCCACUGAUCGAGGCCAGGGAUCGAACCCACGUCCCCAUGAAUGCUAGUCGGGUUUGUUAACUGCUGAGCCACGACAGGAACUCUGAACAUGUUCAUUCCUUUGAAUCUUUUCAUAUCAGUGACAGAAGCCCUUUUCAAAUAAAAGUACUCUUAAGCCUCCAUCAACUAAAACAUCAGUGGAUUUAAAUAGAGAAGUAGUGGAAAGAGCUGGGCCUACUAGUCUAGUAGGUAAUAAAGUGUAUGCUGCCAUCAUAACCCCACUGUGCCCUGGAAGUAGAAAGAAAAACAGAACAGAAGGAAAGAAGAAUGAGUGGGGAGGAAAGUCUUUGCAAAGCUAUUUUUUGAGGGGAGGGGAGAGCGAGGAGAGCUUCAUAGUUCCUGCCUCCCAAUUUUGCGAAGCUAGUUGAUUCUGACUAAAAGGAAACUAAUAAUAAUGUGAGGCUUUAAUUUGGCCUAAGUGCUCCUCUUAUGGAUUAAGGGCAGAGAGAAAUUUCUCCACAGAGAAAGGCCUGGCCCAAUGCCGGAAAUCAAUUUAAAGAUGCUCCCUUUAAAUGACUCUUUUCCAAAUGCCACCGUCCAACAAAGAAGUCUUAGAAGGAGACUCAGAAUCCUCCCGGAGGCAUUUCUCCCUUUCUUCUCUCUGAAAGGCAGUUUCAGAUCAUGUUGUUUUUCCCUAGUGUGACCACCCCACCUUCUUUCCCACAACAUGAUGAUGGGGGCAGAGUGGGGGGGGGGGUCGGGCAGUAGCGGGAGCUGCUCUAUUAAACCAGAGACUCAAGGAGAAGGCUGUCAGAAAAUUGGAGAGAGUAGCAGCUAGAGGCCAGAUGCUCCUGCCUUAUAAAUUAGUAGAAGAUUAUGCACAGCCAGCUGUACCAUAUAAAUGCCCGGUUUUUAUACCACACCAUGACCCCCUGUGUUUAUCAUAUGGUCCAGCAUCUGGUCAAUUCCAUCCCCAACUCCCAUAUAUCUAUUCAAAUCAAGCAUUGCCUGGGGACUUAUUUAUGUCUAUGCCUCAGUAUCAAACCCAAGACCAUCCUGAGGUCCUAACUUGCAGUAUGACAGAGAAUUAACCCAGCACGUUCUUUGUAUCACAGCUAGAAGUUCCCCAUUCACCUGGAGAAUCAUUUUAUUUUCACAAGAUUUAGAAAGCGAGGAGUGGCCAGAUGAGGAAUGUAUGCAUGUGUGUAGAUAAUAAAGAUUAGAUAUAGAUAUAUAAGCCUCAAAGUCUUUAUAUGCCAAGAUACAGAUUUUCUAGAAUAAGGUAAAAGUAAUGUUUUGUAUGCCUUGAAUAAUUAGGCUAAAAGGGAAAAGGACUCUCUUGCAUUUUGAAAUCUUGAGCAAAACCUGAGGUUACCAAAAUGUUUCUAAGUUUCUUUCUUUUGUAAAGACAAGUUUUCCAAGAAACAUCCAUUAAUUGAUUUCUUGGCUAUGGGUGUUUUUCUUUUGAUGUCUUUGUUCAUUUAUUUUUAAAGGGACUCAAGUUAUGUGGGCCUUUCUUUGUGGCAGAGUCCAAAGAACAUUCUGAUCUUCCUCUCAUGCCACACAUCAAAACAAAUUCCAGAUUGACCAAAGAAUUAAACAGAAAAAAUGUAAACCAAAUAUAAACUUAGAAGAAAACACCUUAACUUUUUUUUUUUUUGUCUUUUGUCUUUUUAGGGCCGCACCCGAGGCAUAUGGAGGUUCCCAGCAUAGGGGUCUAAUCGGAGCUUCAGCUGCCAGCCUACACCACAGCUCACGGCAACGCCAGAUCCUUAACCCACUGAGCGAGGCCAGGGAUCAAACCUGCAACCCCAUGGUUCCUAAUCAGAUUCAUUUCCUGCACCACGACGGGAACUCCAACAUUUUUUUUCUGUUAUCUGAAGAUAAAAGUGAUUUAGAUUAUAAAAAUACUGGAAGAAGUCAUAGCAGAAAAAAGAUUGAUAGAUUUUUUUAGUGCACAAAACUGAAUUUUCUGAAUCUUCAAACUGAGCAUAAACUGAAUUAAAAGACGAACAGCACAGUGUGAUUUUUUUUUUUUGCCACAGAUACCAAACAUAAAUAAUCUUAAACACGUGAAGUGCUCUUAGCGAUCAAGGAGGAAAACACCAAAGCACUAGACAGGAAAGAGACAUAGAUGACAGUUCUCAACGGAGGAAACACAAAUCGUCAGGAAAUUUUUUAUUGCUCAGUUCAUUAGUAAUGCGAACAUGUUAAGUUAAAAGUAGGGUUCUACAUCGAUCAGCUGGAAAAAGAAUAAGUUAGGACAGCAAGAUGGGCUGAAAGUGAUAAAUUAAGGCACUCAGCCUGGAAAGCAAAUUGGCUUCAAAGUGUCUAGCGCCUCCAACUCACUGCUUAGAUUUCUGGGUCUCUAUACGAAGGGUGAAAAUUUCAAAAUGCAGAUGAAAAUUCAGGCACAGGGAUCAUUCAUUCACUGCAGGGUAAGUUCAAUAGCAAAACAAAGAGUGGCAACCCUCUAAAUGCUCUUCAACUGCACGGAAAUGGCUCUAUUAGCACGUGUCCAUUAGGCUAGCACAUUCUCAGUAUGAUAUUCUCAUGCCCUUCGGACAAGAAUGACAUAGGAAGGGGGAAUAAAUUCACAUUUCUCUAGUCUAAUUAGCCUUUCCCAUGUGCACCCCAUCUGCAUCAAGUGUCCAGCCUGUGCGAAGCUCUCUGCCCAGUAUUGAAAGGGGUCAGAGUAUGUCACCCCCAAAUACUCCACUUUGGCAUAAAGACUUUUUCUUUCUUUCUUUCUUUCUUUCUUUCUUUCUUUCUUUCUUUCUUUCUUUCUUUCUUUUUUUUUUUGAGCUAAAGUUGAGAAUCAACACAACAGAUACGGGAAGACAUCUAUGCCCUCCCCUUACCUGCCUACAAGCAGGACAAAAAUUCCCCUUUGGGCAGGUGGCAUCCGUUCUCACCACUCUCCUGUUCCAGAAUGAGGAAAGCGACCUUUAUCACCAGAGGCAGCAGCAAAUUGAGCCUGCCUAAAUAAACUUUCCUAAAAUAACCUGUAUCGUCCACAAGUUCCCCAAUGUAUUUCCUAAUUAUUUCCCCACAACGUAGUGUCCCUUGAGGUCCAAACCUUCCUACAUUUGUUUAAAAUGUUACCUAAGCUCCCAAGACGAAUCCCUCCUUUGAAUUUCACUUCUCUGUGAACUCCUGUGCAUGUAAAAUAUUAAUAAAUGUGUAUCCCUUCUCACUUGUUAAUCUGUCUUUUGUGAGUUAAAUUCAUAGGCCCCCACACAUAGAACCUAAGAGGGCAGAGGAAAAGUAUUUCCUUCCCAAUAGUUUUUGUCACAUAGAAAUUCCUUCAUGAAUCUUUGCUGUUAUCAUGGUUCUCAUUUCGUCCUUGAAACAACUCUGUAAAUUGGCAUUGUUUUACCCAUUUCAAGAAAGAGUGAGGCCAGGCUUUCUGAGGUCAAGUGCAGGGGUAUCUAACUGAACUACUGUUUGGACAAAGAUUGGUCAGACUCUACCAACUGUGUUUUUCCCAGCACAAUUCUCCUCCUAAGACUGGAGAAUUCAACAAGACUCAUCAUAAAAUUCAAUAAUAUUCCACAUCAGAAAGUUGUUUUCAAUAGUUUGUAGGGUUGCAUUUUUUGUCCUUUGGGGUGGAUAGGGAAAUAAACUGCUAAAUAUGACUCUGAUUGGUAGGAAGAAGGAUAGUCUGAGAUCGUCAGAUUAUUCAAAAUUAAAGAGAUGUUUUAAAAGAGCUAUCAUACUAAGAGUAAUAUUUUACCUGCAAAAAAAGAGUUAAAACUAAAAAAAUUUACAUUAGAAUGAUAUGCCUUCUUUUCUUUGAUGUUAUCCAACUUAAAAGUUUUCUAAUAUCUGGAGGCAAGUAUGCCUAUAAAUUGCAAAUCUAAAAUUCUAAGCCUGAACUCCAAAGCAUGUUAUUGAGUGGAAUGCUAUAAAAGCAACCCAGCUGUUACCAUCGUUUGCUACAAACAGAGGUGUCUCAAAAUGGCUUCAAGUGACUUACAAAUAUCGGGGAUGCAAGAAAAAGAAAUUUGUUUGUUUCUACUAUUUCACGAUGUGAGAUACAUUCUCUUUAUUCGAUUUUGCUGCCUACAUUUUUUUCUUGGUUUAUUUUUGAAAGAUAGCAUCCUUUUCACUAUUUUCCAAACAUUUGUAUGUGAAGAGUUCAUAAGAGGAGGGGUUGCUGCAAAGCGUGUCUCUGCUUGGGAUAGAAAAGUUAUUUCAGACUUUAAAAUGAUUUCAAAUAUAUUUAGCUAUUAGAAGGAAAAAAACACCAUGCAAAAACAUUGCAUUCAAAGAGAGGUUUUUAAGUAAAGGGAGGUGAAUUCUUGAGUUUCCAAGAAUUCAUCUCAUUUUAACUUUUUUUAGGUACUCCAAUGCAAAUGUGUCUGUAACCAUUGCCAACUUGAAGUGACGCACCUUGAAUUGAAAGCAUAUUAUUGAACGGGACACUAUAAAUGUGAUCACAGCUGUUUCCUUACAUGCUUCAAAACGUAGGUGUCUUAACAUGGUGCGCCAAGUGGCUUUUAAAUAUUGACGAUGCAAGAAACAUUAAUUUGUUUUAUGGACCUGGGCACUGCAGGGAUUUGUCAAGGCUUCAGAUUUCACUGCUAGUAAAAGCUCUAAGUUGAGCCGCCCCUUACCACCAAUCUCUUUACCUUGGACCUCCCCCAACUCCACUUUUCCAGCACAAUAGACAGUUGAACCCCAGCAUAAUCAACCAAUUGUAUAAGACGGCUUAUCAUCAACCUAGAAUAUAGAUGAUACAAACGUCUUUCCAUAUUACGUGAGAGCAAACCUAUUUUCAUCAGACAUUUAUAAGGUCAACUCUUCUGACCUCUUUGUUCCCAAGGCAAGGGCAGAGAGGGCGGGCAGCAGGGAAGAGCAAGAGGAAAAAAUUCACCUUUCCAAGUUCAGGGUGCUUUAGAACCAGGCAUUACACAUUUGCCAUGUGGAGAGAAAGAGAGCGAGGGAGAGAGAGGAAGGAAAUGGGAGUUCUCUGUCGAGAAAAGCGUCCUAGCGAGUGUGAUAAGAGCAGUUUGGGGAAAUAAACAACAGUGGUUUGGAGUUUGUUUCACUUUGCUCAUUUGUUUCUAAGAUACUGGUUUCAAAUCACAAUGAACAUUUCAAAACUAAGUGAAACUUGACUUUAGAAACUGAGCAUAUGACCUUCAAGAUCAUCUAAAGGGAAAAAUCCUACAAUGGCUAGUGGUCACGUGGUAUUGCUAUGUGAUUUAUGCUUAGGAAUCUGUGUUUUAACAUUGAAGCGUGUCAACCACACACACAAACAUUCCCAGUGUUUCUGCUGCCCUCAUGCUAAUGGUUUCAGAGGUAUUUCCCUUCAAGUUUCUUGGAGGUCUGGUGGGGGUGGGGAAUCAGAGAAGAAGCAGCUGGCCCCAUGGGAAAGAGAGCUUGGGUGCAGCCUUGUGAGCUGGAAGAAAGAUAAGCCAGGACCCAGCUAUCUCAUCCAGGCAGCCCAGGUGGGUGAGUGCCCACAGCCACCCUCAGACAAUCUUCUUGGCCCCAAACUGCAGUCUGGUUGAAACCCAGCUUUCUGUGCCAAGGAAUUUAUUUAUACUGGAAUAUCCAGAAACCAGCCUCCUUUUGAUUUAUCCAGCGUUCUUUUCACAAUCAUCGAUUUUUUGUGGAAUAAAACUCAGGAGAAACUCAACAAUCCACCAGCCAGAAUCCUUCUUGAACUAGUAAAUUUGCAUAUUUACUAUAAAAUUUAAGGUUGAAGCUUGCACACUUCAGUGUUUCUGCCACUAGCAACGACAGAUGAUUUCUGGCUAAUUUAAAGUCAACAGGAAUUUGCUCCAAGGAUACAAAUUAGUUCCUGGAAUUGUUUGGGAGAACUGUGUUUAGGCCAAAAAUAAGGUCAGCAAAGCCCAGCAGACGUCCCGCUGAACUCUGCUCAUCCUGGGCACACCCUGCCAUGCCACCAGCCUCACGGCUGCCAUCACAAAUAAUAUUUAAGUGGCCCUAAGCCCAAGGUAGCAACUGUGGCUCAGAUCUGAUCCCUGGCCGGGGGAACUCCAUAUGCCA